UCUACUCCGACUCACCCAGUUCUGCGCGUUAUUGCUCAGCUUGACUUUCUUGCACAGGCUACCGGGAACCUCCAUGGCUGCUCAGCGCGCGGGUGCCCGCGUUCUCAGCGCCCACCUCAGAUAACACAAAGGAUACAUCCGGAGAAAUAUUCAGUUUUACCCUUGAGGAUGCAGGAAAUGAUGCCAUCGAGGGACACAUGGACCGAAGUAGCUAAACUCCACAAGCCAACAGAAUGUGACAGAAGCGACCGUGUAUCUGUUCCAGGCUUACACCUGACAACUUGAGUCUAAGCUACUUUGCCAGAAGAACUAGAGAGAGGCCACAUGAAGAAAUAGAGCUUCUAAUGCUAUCUGGAGAAGACCAAGGAAUGCAGCCAGCAGGGGGAACCAAAGCCCCAAAUAUCUGACCGUAGGAGAGCCAUUCCAGUAAGACCCAUUCAAUCCAUCUUAGCCCAAGUGACAAAUGUGAGUGAAGCAGCCAUCCUGGACAUUCCAGUCCAGUCCAAGUAGAGAAAUCAACAAGCCACAGCCAAUCCCAAUCCACGAACUGUGAGGCAUAACAAAGUUGUGGUUGUUUUAAGCCAAUAAGUUUUGAAGUAAUUUUUUUAAACAGCAGUAGGUUAACAAAAAGUAUAUUAACUGUUUUGGAAAAAAUAUUGCAUAAACUUAAUAUAUUGUGCCUAAACUAUAUUUAUAAACACGUGUCUGCUUUAGAAAUGACCCAUUUUAGAGGAAAUACCUUAGAUAUUUACUUACAAAUACUUAAAUAAUUUCACUGUUUACUACAAUCAUUUGCCUUCAUUUACUUUUGAAAAUAACCACUUUAUCAGUAAAAAUUACAAAUCAAAUAAAGGAAGUUAUGAAAUAUUUAAUCACAGAGAAGCCAAUUUAAUUAUGCAUAUUUUUACAGUAAUCAAAACUAAAAUACUUUCAUACAAUAAGGAACUAAGCAAAAAUUGUAUUGAACCUGAGACAUCCAUUAGUUUAUAACAGGCAAAUCUAAUUUACAAGAAUAUCUGCUUGUUUUAAGUUGCAACAAAUAUCAAUAGCAAUUAGGAAAUUAUAAAUUCAUAACAUAAAAACAAGGUCCUAAUUUCAGUGAGGGAACAUUAUCCUGCUAUUUACAAGUUUGCGGAUACUCAGGAUUUGCCCUAAGACGAUGAAAUGUUAAACACAGUUCUCUUUCUUUCUUCCUCCUCCUCCUUUCCCCUUCCCUUCCGCCCAGCCCUCCCCUCACCCCUAAUUCUUUUCUCCCCGGAUGUCCAGGACACUAGGUAGGUCACACUGGUCUGAGUUUUUGUGAGGUGGUGUUCUGAGAAACCCACAGGGUCAUUUCACACAAGCCAGUCCGAAGCCCAUGCUGUGUUAUUAUGUUGUAAUACUGAAAAAUCGUCCCUAUUUUAGGAUUUGCCCCUUUCUAGGUUGAGCAAUCUAGCAACAUAAGAUUCACAGGAUCCCAAAUCAAGCUCCUCACUCCUUCCAUAAAAGCUGUAUUCUUGGUUAACUUUAUUGAGCAUGACGUCCAGAGAAGUCACUUCACACAAAAAUUAUUCCACUUGGAUAUUUUAGUACAUGAAAUUCAUGAAAGCAAGAGUUGUAGAACAAGAAUUCCAAUAUUUAAGAGUAAAUGUUUAUUUUGGAAUUAUAAGAACACAUUUCACGAUAAUAUGAAAAGACACACUAAUAACAUUAAGUCCAAUAAAACACAAAGUUAAUGUUGUUAAAAGAAAAGGUAGAAGAAAGGAAGGCAUCAUGGAGCCUCAAAGACAAAGCUUCUGCUCUUCAAACCAGUGUGUCAUAGUGUUUGCUAUGGACUUGAUAUUUGUGUGUCCCCCACCCCCAAAUUCAUAUUUUGAAUCCAAACUCCAAAGUGAUGGUAUUAGGAGGGAGGGCCUUUCUUUGGGAGGUAAUUAGGUCAUAAGGGUAGUCAACUUUAAAAACAUAAUAGCCAGUUAUAUUACCAGCAAAACUGAGUUUAUUCAGAAAUAGCAGAGGAAUUGCAAUCCAGGAUAGGUGAACCAUGGCAGAGCACAGGCAAAUCCAGAGAACGGGGAAGGGGAACUUGCCUUUAUAGGGGAAAGGUGGGAGUUGGGAGGGGCUGUGGUAACCAAAGAGUCCACUGGAGUCCAAAGUAUGGAGGCUUUUUAUUCAUUGGGCUGUCACUGUCUCAAAUUGGCUGGGCUGUCAUGGGGCAGAGAGUUUUCUUCUUCCUACUGGAUGGUAGAGGCACCUUCCUGUUGGAAAUAUAGGCAGAAGUCUCUUCCUAGUUGAAGUGAUGAUUGAUGAUGUAUGGCAGGAUGUGAGAGCUCCCCCUACAGGCCUGUCCUGAUUCCAGUUUUAGCUGAGCUUCCUCAAUUAAUUCCACAGGUGGAACCCUCAUGAAUGGGAUAUAAAAGAGACCCCAGAGAGAUCCCUAGCCCUUUCAAACAUGUGAGGACACAGUGGGAAGACACCAGCUAUGAACCAGGAAGAGGGCUCUCAUGAGAACUCAACCCUGCUGGCGCCUUAAUCUUAGACUUCCCAACCUCCAUACAUAACUGUAAGAAAUAAAGGUCUGUUUUUUAUAAGCCACCCAGUCUGGGGAAUUUUGUUACAACCAACUGAACAGACUAAGACAGUGCUUAUGUCUAUAGUUUCUCCAGGGCACUCAUUUAUGUCUCAUUUCGUAAUUUAUGCAGAAACACAACUUGAGAACUAGAUUCUUGAUAUAUCUAGGUACAGUAACUUUAAUGAACUAUUUCCUCCAAAGUAAAUUUAGAUUUAAAUUAGUGAUACUGAUUUGUUUCCUUCAAUACAACAGCUGCUCUUAAGAUACGUACAGUGGGAUCUGAUUUAUGAUUAGAAGAGGAAAGACAGUUAAAACUAGGCAUUGAAAGCUAAAAGAUGAAACAAAGUAAAGCAGGGUACAAUUGUUACUUGGUAGCGCUCAUAAAUUCUUACAGGAGACAGAGAGAUGAAAGUCUGCCUGAACUUACAGUACUCCUCUAUUAAAUGUGUGUGUACAUCCCAGCAUUUAACCUGGAAUAGUCAGAUGUAGGAAAGAAAUUGAAAGGUCAAACCUGAGGAGAGUGAAGCCAGCAUGUUAAAAAGAAACAAAAUUCAUGCAGCAAAACUUAUGCUGACCUCCAAACACUGGGAUGCAAGAAACAGCAAAAUAAUUCUCUGUUGCAUUCAAGAGAAAACCUGGAUAGAGCAAAAAAUAUAUAGAAAAAUAUAUGCAAGUAUGUUUUCUGUUUCAUCAAAUCCUAAAAAGGUCAUUUUAUCUAAAGAGAAAGAAACCAAGAUGAAUAAAAUCUUUGAUAUAUUUACUCCAUUUUUGCCUUACUCUGUGUGUGUUCGUGUGUGCAUGUGCAUGUGUGGUAUAUACACACUUAUAUAAAAACAAGGCCAAGUUUUUUUUUUUAUUUGGACAUCAAAUUAGAGGUACUAUAA